rnacentral:rRNA from 1 species
AACGAACGCUGGCGGCAUGCCUAACACAUGCAAGUCGAACGAGACCGUCGGGUCUAGUGGCGCACGGGUGCGUAACGCGUGGGAACCUGCCCUUAGGUUCGGAAUAACUCCCCGAAAGGGGUGCUAAUACCGGAUAAUGUCUUCGGACCAAAGAUUUAUCGCCUUUGGAUGGGCCCGCGUUGGAUUAGCUAGUUGGUAGGGUAAAAGCCUACCAAGGCGACGAUGCAUAGCUGGUCUGAGAGGAUGAUCAGCCACACUGGGACUGAGACACGGCCCAGACUCCUACGGGAGGCAGCAGUGGGGAAUAUUGGACAAGGGGCGAAAGCCUGAUCCAGCAAUGCCGCGUGAGUGAUGAAGGCCUUAGGGUUGUAAAGCUCUUUUACCCGAGAUGAUAAUGACAGUACCGGGAGAAUAAGCACCGGCUAACUCCGUG